UACAGAGGAUGCAAGCGUUAUCCGGAAUGAUUGGGCGUAAAGCGUCUGUAGGUGGCUUUUUAAGUCCGCCGUCAAAUCCCAGGGCUCAACUCUGGACAGGCGGUGGGAACUACCAAGCUGGAGUACGGUAGGGGCAGAGGGAAUUUCCGGUGGAGCGGUGAAAUGCGUAGAUAUCGGAAGGAACACCAGUGGCGAAAAGCGACUUCCUGGUCCAGCAUCGACGUUCAGGCACGAAAGCGUGGGGAGCAAACAGG
rnacentral:rRNA from 1 species